AGUGUUGUAGCUCAAUGGUUGAGUGCUUGCCUCACACGCAUGAGGCACUGGGUUUGAUCCUCAGCACUACGU
rnacentral:tRNA from 1 species